rnacentral:rRNA from 1 species
GGGUUGUGAGGUUAAGCGACUAAGCGUACACGGUGGAUGCCCUGGCAGUCAGAGGCGAUGAAGGACGUGCUAAUCUGCGAUAAGCGUCGGUAAGGUGAUAUGAACCGUUAUAACCGGCGAUUUCCGAAUGGGGAAACCCAGUGUGUUUCGACACACUAUCAUUAACUGAAUCCAUAGGUUAAUGAGGCGAACCGGGGGAACUGAAACAUCUAAGUACCCCGAGGAAAAGAAAUCAACCGAGAUUCCCCCAGUAGCGGCGAGCGAACGGGGAGCAGCCCAGAGCCUGAAUCAGUGUGUGUGUUAGUGGAAGCGUCUGGAAAGGCGCGCGAUACAGGGUGACAGCCCCGUACACAAAAAUGCACAUGCUGUGAGCUCGAUGAGUAGGGCGGGACACGUGGUAUCCUGUCUGAAUAUGGGGGGACCAUCCUCCAAGGCUAAAUACUCCUGACUGACCGAUAGUGAACCAGUACCGUGAGGGAAAGGCGAAAAGAACCCCGGCGAGGGGAGUGAAAAAGAACCUGAAACCGUGUACGUACAAGCAGUGGGAGCACGCUUAGGCGUGUGACUGCGUACCUUUUGUAUAAUGGGUCAGCGACUUAUAUUCUGUAGCAAGGUUAACCGAAUAGGGGAGCCGAAGGGAAACCGAGUCUUAACUGGGCGUUAAGUUGCAGGGUAUAGACCCGAAACCCGGUGAUCUAGCCAUGGGCAGGUUGAAGGUUGGGUAACACUAACUGGAGGACCGAACCGACUAAUGUUGAAAAAUUAGCGGAUGACUUGUGGCUGGGGGUGAAAGGCCAAUCAAACCGGGAGAUAGCUGGUUCUCCCCGAAAGCUAUUUAGGUAGCGCCUCGUGAAUUCAUCUCCGGGGGUAGAGCACUGUUUCGGCAAGGGGGUCAUCCCGACUUACCAACCCGAUGCAAACUGCGAAUACCGGAGAAUGUUAUCACGGGAGACACACGGCGGGUGCUAACGUCCGUCGUGAAGAGGGAAACAACCCAGACCGCCAGCUAAGGUCCCAAAGUCAUGGUUAAGUGGGAAACGAUGUGGGAAGGCCCAGACAGCCAGGAUGUUGGCUUAGAAGCAGCCAUCAUUUAAAGAAAGCGUAAUAGCUCACUGGUCGAGUCGGCCUGCGCGGAAGAUGUAACGGGGCUAAACCAUGCACCGAAGCUGCGGCAGCGACGCUGAUGCGUUGUUGGGUAGGGGAGCGUUCUGUAAGCCUGUGAAGGUGUGCUGUGAGGCAUGCUGGAGGUAUCAGAAGUGCGAAUGCUGACAUAAGUAACGAUAAAGCGGGUGAAAAGCCCGCUCGCCGGAAGACCAAGGGUUCCUGUCCAACGUUAAUCGGGGCAGGGUGAGUCGACCCCUAAGGCGAGGCCGAAAGGCGUAGUCGAUGGGAAACAGGUUAAUAUUCCUGUACUUGGUGUUACUGCGAAGGGGGGACGGAGAAGGCUAUGUUGGCCGGGCGACGGUUGUCCCGGUUUAAGCGUGUAGGCUGGUUUUCCAGGCAAAUCCGGAAAAUCAAGGCUGAGGCGUGAUGACGAGGCACUACGGUGCUGAAGCAACAAAUGCCCUGCUUCCAGGAAAAGCCUCUAAGCAUCAGGUAACAUCAAAUCGUACCCCAAACCGACACAGGUGGUCAGGUAGAGAAUACCAAGGCGCUUGAGAGAACUCGGGUGAAGGAACUAGGCAAAAUGGUGCCGUAACUUCGGGAGAAGGCACGCUGAUAUGUAGGUGAAGUCCCUCGCGGAUGGAGCUGAAAUCAGUCGAAGAUACCAGCUGGCUGCAACUGUUUAUUAAAAACACAGCACUGUGCAAACACGAAAGUGGACGUAUACGGUGUGACGCCUGCCCGGUGCCGGAAGGUUAAUUGAUGGGGUUAGCCGCAAGGCGAAGCUCUUGAUCGAAGCCCCGGUAAACGGCGGCCGUAACUAUAACGGUCCUAAGGUAGCGAAAUUCCUUGUCGGGUAAGUUCCGACCUGCACGAAUGGCGUAAUGAUGGCCAGGCUGUCUCCACCCGAGACUCAGUGAAAUUGAACUCGCUGUGAAGAUGCAGUGUACCCGCGGCAAGACGGAAAGACCCCGUGAACCUUUACUAUAGCUUGACACUGAACAUUGAGCCUUGAUGUGUAGGAUAGGUGGGAGGCUUAGAAGUGUGGACGCCAGUCUGCAUGGAGCCGACCUUGAAAUACCACCCUUUAAUGUUUGAUGUUCUAACGUUGACCCGUAAUCCGGGUUGCGGACAGUGUCUGGUGGGUAGUUUGACUGGGGCGGUCUCCUCCUAAAGAGUAACGGAGGAGCACGAAGGUUGGCUAAUCCUGGUCGGACAUCAGGAGGUUAGUGCAAUGGCAUAAGCCAGCUUGACUGCGAGCGUGACGGCGCGAGCAGGUGCGAAAGCAGGUCAUAGUGAUCCGGUGGUUCUGAAUGGAAGGGCCAUCGCUCAACGGAUAAAAGGUACUCCGGGGAUAACAGGCUGAUACCGCCCAAGAGUUCAUAUCGACGGCGGUGUUUGGCACCUCGAUGUCGGCUCAUCACAUCCUGGGGCUGAAGUAGGUCCCAAGGGUAUGGCUGUUCGCCAUUUAAAGUGGUACGCGAGCUGGGUUUAGAACGUCGUGAGACAGUUCGGUCCCUAUCUGCCGUGGGCGCUGGAGAACUGAGGGGGGCUGCUCCUAGUACGAGAGGACCGGAGUGGACGCAUCACUGGUGUUCGGGUUGUCAUGCCAAUGGCACUGCCCGGUAGCUAAAUGCGGAAGAGAUAAGUGCUGAAAGCAUCUAAGCACGAAACUUGCCCCGAGAUGAGUUCUCCCUGACUCCUUGAGAGUCCUGAAGGAACGUUGAAGACGACGACGUUGAUAGGCCGGGUGUGUAAGCGCAGCGAUGCGUUGAGCUAACCGGUACUAAUGAACCGUGAGGCUUAACCUUACAACGCCGAAG